rnacentral:lncRNA from 1 species
CGGCGAUCCGGGGUCUGGGCGCGGCGAGGUCUGGUGUGGCAGAUGUGGAUAGCUGGACCCUCCUGGGUGCCUCUGCGUUAUGUCGUUUGGUUGAUGCAUUUGGAGAGAAUCUGUGCUCUCCACAACUGCAGGGGCAACAUGCUUUCCUGGCCUCUUCAGAUCAGGGUGGCUGUUCUUGGGUGCUGCACCAAAACUCCAGCAGUGGGCUUUCUUCAAGUGGCCGGCUCACCUCAUUCCUGCCAAGACCCAGGUCCGUGUUCUCACAGUGCUGCCAUCUUUCCUCCGUGUGAGCGUGGGCUGUGCGGAGAGUGGACCUCGGUGUGUGCGGGGCUGCGUGCACUGCCAUCGCUCCCUCUACACGAGCCGGCGUGGACCCAGGGCUGAGCUGUGACCACGAGGGCCAUCCCGACGAGCCGCCAUGGACCCAGGGCUGAGCUGUGACCAUGAGGGCUAUCCCGACGAGCUGCCGUGGACCCAGGGCUGAGCCGUGACCAUGAGGGCCAUCCCGAAACUGUGAUUGUUUUCUGAAUGUGGAAGCGUCGGCCGAGCGCGGUCCUUGGAGAACCCUUGCUGCGGAGAAUGACGCUCACUCUGCGGCCUGGCCUCGCCUCCCCAUCCCUUCUGCAAACUCACAGGACAGGAUUGAUGGGGAGAGCCCAGGCGAAACGAAGCUGACCCUAGUGACCAGCCCUACUGGCGGCUCUGGAACAGGCCCGGGACCGGUGGCCUGGAGACAGUGGUCCUUUCUGGAUGGGCUGCAGUCUCCGAAGGCUUCCCCCACUGGAGUCAGCCCUUUAGGAGUUUGUCCAGUGCCUCCAGAAAGCUGUUUUUUGGGGGACGGAGGACUUGGCCUGGAAUUCUGGAAUUCCCAGGGGGUCAGACAUGGUUAUGGGAAGUUUAAUAAAACCGGUGAAUCACGUGAAAAAAAAAAAAAAAAAAAAA